UGAGUGCUUUGGGGUGGGGUGACUGCGUACCUUUUGUAUAAUGGGUCAGCGACUUAUAUUCUGUAGCAAGGUUAACCGUAUAGGGGAGCCGAAGGGAAACCGAGUCUUAACUGGGCGUUAAGUUGCAGGGUAUAGACCCGAAACCCGGUGAUCUAGCCAUGGGCAGGUUGAAGGUUGGGUAACACUAACUGGAGGACCGAACCGACUAAUGUUGAAAAAUUAGCGGAUGACUUGUGGCUGGGGGUGAAAGGCCAAUCAAACCGGGAGAUAGCUGGUUCUCCCCGAAAGCUAUUUAGGUAGCGCCUCGUGAACUCAUCUUCGGGGGUAGAGCACUGUUUCGGCUAGGGGGUCAUCCCGACUUACCAACCCGAUGCAAACUGCGAAUACCGAAGAAUGUUAUCACGGGAGACACACGGCGGGUGCUAACGUCCGUCGUGAAGAGGGAAACAACCCAGACCGCCAGCUAAGGUCCCAAAGUCACAGUUAAGUGGGAAACGAUGUGGGAAGGCUCAGACAGCCAGGAUGUUGGCUUAGAAGCAGCCAUCAUUUAAAGAAAGCGUAAUAGCUCACUGGUCGAGUCGGCCUGCGCGGAAGAUGUAACGGGGCUAAACUGUGCACCGAAGCUGCGGCAGCGACGCUUAUGCGUUGUUGGGUAGGGGAGCGUUCUGUAAGCCUGCGAAGGUGUCCUGUGAGGGAUGCUGGAGGUAUCAGAAGUGCGAAUGCUGACAUAAGUAACGAUAAUGCGGGUGAAAAGCCCGCUCGCCGGAAGACCAAGGGUUCCUGUCCAACGUUAAUCGGGGCAGGGUGAGUCGACCCCUAAGGCGAGGCCGAAAGGCGUAGUCGAUGGGAAACGGGUUAAUAUUCCCGUACUUGGUGUUACUGCGAAGGGGGGACGGAGAAGGCUAUGUUGGCCGGGCGACGGUUGUCCCGGUUUAAGCGUGUAGGCUGGUUUUCCAGGCAAAUCCGGAAAAUCAAG
rnacentral:rRNA from 1 species